rnacentral:rRNA from 1 species
GAUGAACGCUGGCGGCGUGCCUAAUACAUGCAAGUCGAGCGAACAGACGAGGAGCUUGCUCCUCUGACGUUAGCGGCGGACGGGUGAGUAACACGUGGAUAACCUACCUAUAAGACUGGGAUAACUUCGGGAAACCGGAGCUAAUACCGGAUAAUAUAUUGAACCGCAUGGUUCAAUAGUGAAAGACGGUUUUGCUGUCACUUAUAGCUGGAUCCGCGCCGCAUUAGCUAGUUGGUAAGGUAACGGCUUACCAAGGCAACGAUGCGUAGCCGACCUGAGAGAGGGAUCGGCCACACGGGAACUGAGACACGGUCCAGACUCCUACGGGAGGCAGCAGUAGGGAAUCUUCCGCAAUGGGCGAAAGCAUGACGGAGCAACGCCGCGUGAGUGAUGAAGGUCUUCGGAUCGUAAAACUCUGUUAUUAGGGAAGAACAAAUGUGUAAGUAACUAUGCACGUCUUGACGGUACCUAAUCAGAAAGCCACGGCUAACUACGUG